rnacentral:rRNA from 1 species
AAAUAACCUAAAAAUCUUAUUAAUAAUGAUAGUAAUAUAAACAAAUAAGUAAAUCAAAAUAAAAUAAUAAAGUACAGAAAUGGAAAUAACAAUCAAUAAAAGUAAGUGUUAAAAACUGUACCUUGUGCAUUAUGGUUUUACAAGAAAAUAGUUAAUAACACUAAUCCCGAAUUCUAAGUGAGAUGUUAAACUGCUGUUAAGAACCCACUAUUAACUGUAGAAAAAGUUUUAAAAGACAGUUCAACAGAGGCUACAUACCAUUCGCACAAGAAUAUAGCUGGUUUUCAACAAACAUUAUACAUUAAAACAUAUAAUUAUAUUAUUAUAGUGUUAUACUACUGAGGAUAAGCCCAGUAGUUAAAGCAAUACAUGUACAUAAAUUCCACAUAACAAUUAGGCCUAAAACCAGCCAACCAUACUACUUUAUCGUAUUAAUAGCAAAUAAAAUAAAUACAUUAACAAUGCUAAAUAAAGUUGAAAUAGUGGACAAAUUACAACACCCACCCUUAUUUUGUAAAAAUAAGUAUUGUCUAAUAGUAAAAUAAUAGCCCCAGAAUAAAACAACACUAAAGAUAUUAAUAAUUAAUUAAGGAACUCGGCAAACCCUUAUUUCGACUGUUUAACAAAAACAUUGUCUCAUGAAAUAAAAUAUGAGAUAAUACCUGCCCAGUGACAAUAGUUUAACGGCCGCGGUAUCCUAACCGUGCAAAGGUAGCAUAAUCACUUGCCUAUUAAUUGUAGGCUAGAAUGAAUGGGUUAACGAAAUAAAAACUGUCUCAAUUAAUUAACUAAAAAUUAUUAUUUACCUGAAGAAAAGUAAAUACCCUCGAAAGACAAGAAGACCCUAUAGAGCUUAAUUUUACCUAUAGAAAACACACUAUAAAAAUAUUCGGUUGGGGCGACCCAGGGCUAAACAAUCACCCAGCAAUUAAAAGAUACAUAUAUCAAACAAGUGACCCUCAAAAGAUCAUAAGAACAAGCUACCUUAGGGAUAACAGGCUAAUCCCACUAAAGAGUCCAUAUCAACAGUGGGGCUUGGCACCUCGAUGUUGGCUUAGGGAAUCUAUGUGGCGCAAAAGUCAUAUAAAGAUGGUUUGUUCAACCAAUAAUACCCUACAUGAGCUGAGUUCAGACCGGCGUAAGCCAGGUUAGCUUCUAUCUUCGACUACUACACUCUGCUCCUAGUACGAAAGGACCUGAGCAGAAUAAUAAUUUAUAUAAAAGAACAAAUAUAACAUAAUAUAACUAACACUGACACAUAAACUAUG